GACGAACGCUGGCGGCGUGCUUAACACAUGCAAGUCGAACGGAAAGGCCCUGCUUUUGUGGGGUGCUCGAGUGGCUAACGGGUGAGUAACACGUGAGUAACCUGCCCUUGACUUUGGGAUAACUUCAGGAAACUUGGGCUAAUACCGGUUAGUAGCUCCUGCUGCAUGGUGGGGGUUGGAAAGUUUCGGCGGUUGGGGAUGGACUCGCGGCUUAUCAGCUUGUUGGUGGGGUAGUGGCUUACCAAGGCUUUGACGGGUAGCCGGCCUGAGAGGGUGACCGGCCACAUUGGGACUGAGAUACGGCCCAGACUCCUACGGGAGGCAGCAGUGGGGAAUAGUGCACAAUGGGCGGAAGCCUGAUGCAGCAACGCCGCGUGCGGGAUGACGGCCUUCGGGUUGUAAACCGCUUGCGCCUGUGACGAAGCGUGAGUGACGGUAAUGGGUAAAGAAGCACCGGCUAACUACGUG
rnacentral:rRNA from 1 species